GGGUCAGUAGGUUGGUCGUGCCACCGGUACGUACUGGUCUCACUGAUUCCUCCUUCCUGAAGAACCGUAAUGCCAUUAAUUCGGCGUUGCGGGGAAACAGGACUGUUACUUUGAAAAAAUUAGAGUGUUUAAAGCAAGCUAACGCUUGAAUACAUUAGCAUGGAAUAAUGAAAUAGGACGAUCGAUCCUAUUUUGUUGGUUUCUAGGAUUGACGUA
rnacentral:rRNA from 1 species